AUUGAACGCUGGCGGCAUGCCUUACACAUGCAAGUCGAACGGCAGCACGGGUGCUUGCACCUGGUGGCGAGUGGCGAACAGGUGAGUAAAGUAUCGGAACGUGCCUGGUAGUGGGGGAUAACUAGUCGAAAGACUAGCUAAUACCGCAUACGAUCUAAGGAUGAAAGCAGGGGACCUUCGGGCCUUGUGCUAUCAGAGCGGCCGAUAUCUGAUUAGCUAGUAGGUGGGGUAACGGCUCACCUAGGCGACGAUCCCUAGCUGGUCUGAGAGGAUGACCAGCCACACGGGAACUGAAACACGGUCCAGACUCCUACGGGAGGCAGCAGUGGGGAAUAUUGCACAAUGGGCGAAAGCCUGAUGCAGCCAUGCCGCGUGUAUGAAGAAGGCCUUCGGGUUGUAAAGUACUUUCAGCGGGGAGGAAGGCGAUAAGGUUAAUAACCUUGUCGAUUGACGUUACCCGCAGAAGAAGCACCGGCUAACUCCGUGCCAGCAGCCGCCGUAA
rnacentral:rRNA from 1 species